ncrna:Eptesicus fuscus (big brown bat) microRNA efu-mir-9223i precursor
GGUGGUUCUCGGUUGAUGCACCCCGGAAUCGGGCUCCCUCCUCUCUG